rnacentral:sRNA from 1 species
GCCGGGUGUGGUGAUGCGCACAUGUAAUCCCAGUGGCUUCGGAGGCUGAGGCAGGAGAAUCUUGAGUUCAAAGGGAGCCUCAGCAAAAGCAAGGCGCUAAGCAACUCAGUGAGACCCUGUCUCUA